AAAUAGUAAUAGUUAUCAGGUGCGAAUAAUCGCAUGAUAAGCGGUGCAAUUCCGCUGCGCUCCCGGCGCUGUAAGGGGUUUUAGCCCUAAGCCAGCAAUCAGCCUGAUAGUCUAGCUACUG
rnacentral:ncRNA from 2 species